GCGAUAAAGCUGAUUCCCGUAAGUUUAGCCACUUGUUGUUAGGCGGACGUGUUUAAUUGCCGUUAAUUGUGGCUAAGUUUCUGUAGUUUAGCCAUUUGUUGUUAGGACGCGAACAGAAUUUGUGGAACCGUUUUGAUCUUGAGCGAGCGUGGGCCCGGCAGAGUUUUCGUCCGCCAAGUUCUCUUGUUAUGAGUGGGGAUUCCAGUUAGUUAUUAUUCUUCAGGCAACCAUGCUGCGAUAAAGCUGAUUGUUUGGUGGAUUAGAAUUCUGGGUGGCUAGGGGCGAUAGGGACCAAGAAAGAUGAGGUUGAUUUGGCUUGAUCCUGCCAAAGAAAUUUACUUCUAUUUUGAAAAAUGAACACAUGUUCUUGGAUGUGCAGGUUAAGUUUCCAAAUGCGAGGUUUAUAGCAAAUCAAAAGGAUCAACAGAAGCAUAGUACGAUAAUACAGUAGGAUAAGCAUGUAUGACUGUAGGAUAAUACAGUUUGAAGAAUGAUGAUGGUAUGGUUCUCAUAUAUAGAGGACGGUGGUUGGCUCAAAGAGUUUAUCACCUCAAAAAUUUCCUUUCUUGGAAUAACUUGCCUUAUUAGAGGUCCAUAAACAUCUCUGGCAUCUUCAGUACUACUUACGGCAGCUGCACAAGUGUUAUUCAUGAUAUAGCAAAAUCUUUUAGAUAUAUUUCUUGUUGUCCCGGACCCCCUGUUAAAACAGAAGUGCUUUUGCAGGCUUACAAGAAAUGGAUUUUGAAGACCAUCUAACUAUCUAAGAGUCAUGGAAUUCGUUCCAUCCUAAAUUUUUGGGACUCUGGAAUAAACACAAAGAUGAGAAUAGGGAUGCAUGCCUGCCUGCCAUACACAUUGACAGGUUUUCAAUACUCAUCCCGAAGCUUUUCAGCGUUGUACAGAAGAAGUAAUUGACUGGUUUACUUCAUGAUAGUCUUGGCUUUUGUUUUGGCCAAAAUGAUCAGAAAAAUGCGUAUUCUUGGACUGGGUUUUCUUCCGCACUCUCUUGGAUCAGGCAGGUGCGUUGCCUGAGGAGUUCGUCGGCCGCGGAAGGGGGCGAUGGCCAAAACUGGAUGGGCGGCGACGGCGCAACAGUGGCUUGCGGCGCGGACAUCCAUCUGAACAGCGACAUCGAAGAAAGACACUGAGAUUAACUGGGAUGGAACCGGCCACAUAUUGCGCACAAGAGGAUAGGCUGCACCUGCUUUCGCGAGAAGCUCUUCGGCGCGAUCGUCAUCCGCGCCGCAUGGCUGCGAUGGCGCAGGACAGGCUCUGCGGCUGCGACGUACGUCCGGGUGGGCAAGGGUAGGAAGAUCCAUCUGAUUCCCGUAAGUUUAGCCACUUGUUGUUAGGCGGACGUGUUUAAUUGCCGUUAAUUGUGGCUAAGUUUCUGUAGUUUAGCCAUUUGUUGUUAGGACGCGAACAGAAUUUGUGGAACCGUUUUGAUCUUGAGCGAGCGUGGGCCCGGCAGAGUUUUCGUCCGCCAA